GUAGGGAAUCUUCCACACUGGGCGCAAGCCUGAUGGAGCAACACCGCGUGAGUGAAGAAGGGUUUCGGCUCGUAAAGCGCUGUUGUUAAAGAAGAACACGUAUGAGAGUAACUGUUCAUACGUUGACGGUAUUUAACCAGAAAGUCACGGCUAACUACGUGCCAGCAGCCGCGGCAAUACGUAGGUGGCAAGCGUUAUCCGGAUCUAUUCGGCGUAAAGAGAGUGCAUGCGGUUUUCUAAGUCUGAUGUGAAAGCCUUCGGCUUAACCGGAGAAGUGCAUCGGAAACUGGAUAACUUGAGUGCAGAAGAGGGUAGUGGAACUCCAUGUGGAGCGGUGGAAUGAGUAGAUAUAUGGAAGAACACCAGUGGCGAAGGCGGCUACCUGGUCUGCAACUGACGCUGAGACUCGAAAGCAUGGGUAGCGAACAGGAAUAGAUACCCUUGUAGUCC
rnacentral:rRNA from 1 species